rnacentral:snRNA from 1 species
GGUAUGUGACAGUGACCUGACUGUGACAUCUGUCACCUCAUUGAUUGUCAGGGUUGAUUUGGCUGAUCUGUCUGGCUAGGUGGGUACCCCUCCUUCCUCACAGCUCCCUCCAUAUGCAUUCCUCUCAAGGCUGCACAGUUGGUCCAAGAAGACAACCUUCUCCUUUUCCUCCACAGAAGACCAUCCUUAGGCCAAGGGCACACAAGCAGAUGCAUUCUCCAGCUCAAACCUUCAAANAAGCUUUUGAGGUUCAUAAAGGAACCAGGGAGGGCUGAUGGGAGA